rnacentral:pre_miRNA from 1 species
CAUGCCCCAGUGGGGUCCCUCAGCCUGGCCUGUGGGAUCGGGCCGAAAUCAGCUCUCUGACAUUCCCUGAGGGUCCUGUAUUAUGAGAGGGAGCAGGCCAGGCUGAGGGACCCCACUGGUGCACG